rnacentral:rRNA from 1 species
AGUGAACGCUGGCGGUAGGCCUAACACAUGCAAGUCGAACGGCAGCACAGAGGAGCUUGCUCCUUGGGUGGCGAGUGGCGGACGGGUGAGGAAUACAUCGGAAUCUACUCUGUCGUGGGGGAUAACGUAGGGAAACUUACGCUAAUACCGCAUACGACCUACGGGGGAAAGCAGGGGAUCUUCGGACCUUGCGCGAUUGAAUGAGCCGAUGUCGGAUUAGCUAGUUGGCGGGGUAAAGGCCCACCAAGGCGACGAUCCGUAGCUGGUCUGAGGGGAUGAUCGGCCACACUGGAACUGAGACACGGUCCAGACUCCUCCAGGAGGCAGCAGUGGGGAAUAUUGGACAAUGGGCGCAAGCCUGAUCCAGCCAUACCGCGUGGGUGAAGAAGGCCUUCGGGUUGUAAAGCCCUUUUGUUGGGAAAGAAAUCCAUCUGGUUAAUACCCGGAUGGGAUGACGGUACCCAAAGAAUAAGCACCGGCUAACUUCGCGCCAGCAGCCGCCGCGG